GACGAACGCUGGCGGCGUGCUUAACACAUGCAAGUCGAACGGUGAAGCGCCUUCCUUUUUGGUGGGUGUGGAUGAGUGGCGAACGGGUGAGUAACACGUGAGUAACCUGCCCCCUUCUUCUGGAUAACCGCAUGAAAGUGUGGCUAAUACGGGAUAUUCUGGGUCUGUCGCAUGAUGGGUCUGGGAAAGAUAUUGUUUCGGUGGGGGAUGGGCUCGCGGCCUAUCAGCUUGUUGGUGGGGUGAUGGCCUACCAAGGCGGUGACGGGUAGCCGGCCUGAGAGGGUGGACGGUCACACUGGGACUGAGACACGGCCCAGACUCCUACGGGAGGCAGCAGUGGGGAAUAUUGCACAAUGGGCGCAAGCCUGAUGCAGCGACGCCGCAUGAGGGAUGGAGGCCUUCGGGUUGUGAACCUCUUUCGCCAGUGAAGCAGGCCUGCCUCGUUUGUGGGUGGGUUGACGGUAGCUGGAUAAGGGGCGCCGGCUAACUACGUG
rnacentral:rRNA from 1 species